AUUGAACGCUGGCGGCAUGCCUUACACAUGCAAGUCGAACGGCAGCACGGGAGCAAUCCUGGUGGCGAGUGGCGAACGGGUGAGUAAUAUAUCGGAACGUGCCCAGUCGUGGGAGAUAACGUAGCGAAAGCUACGCUAAUACCGCAUACGAUCUAUGGAUGAAAGCGGGGGAUCGCAAGACCUCGCGCGAUUGGAGCGGCCGAUAUCAGAUUAGGUAGUUGGUGAGGUAAAGGCUCACCAAGCCGACGAUCUGUAGCUGGUCUGAGAGGACGACCAGCCACACUGGGACUGAGACACGGUCCAGACUCCUACGGAGGCAGCAGUGGGGAAUAUUGGACAAUGGGCGAAAGACCUGAUCCAGCCAUGCCGCGUGUGUGAAGAAGGUCUUCGGAUUGUAAAGC
rnacentral:rRNA from 1 species